CCUACGGGAGGCUGCAGUGGGGAAUUUUGGACAAUGGGGGCAACCCUGAUCCAGCCAUUCCGCGUGAGUGAAGAAGGCCUUCGGGUUGUAAAGCUCUUUCGGCAGGAACGAAACGGCGAGCUCUAACAUAGCUCGCUAAUGACGGUACCUGAAGAAGAAGCACCGGCUAACUACGUGCCAGCAGCCGCGGUAAUACGUAGGGUGCGAGCGUUAAUCGGAAUUACUGGGCGUAAAGCGUGCGCAGGCGGUUGUGUAAGACAGGUGUGAAAUCCCUGGGCUUAACCUGGGAACUGCGCUUGUGACUGCACGGCUAGAGUAUGGCAGAGGGGGGUGGAAUUCCACGUGUAGCAGUGAAAUGCGUAGAGAUGUGGAGGAACACCGAUGGCGAAGGCAGCCCCCUGGGCCAAUACUGACGCUCAUGCACGAAAGCGUGGGGAGCAAACAGGAUUAGAUACCCCUGUAGUC
rnacentral:rRNA from 1 species